rnacentral:lncRNA from 1 species
CUUCCGGUGUCUCCGCAUCGAGCCCUUGCGCACGACGGAGGGCGGCCCAUGGUCUGUGGGUCGGAUGUCUGGCGGUCACACCCGCCGGGAAGAUCUUCUGGCGGAAACAGAAUCUGCUCCUUUCGGGAAAGGCUGAUUGCGCGGUUACGUGCAGCGUGUGUUGAGGAGUGGCUCUGGAAACUUAAAGAGCCCGACGAUCAAGUGAUCUUGCCAACUACCGUUUUAAUCAGCAUGUUUUAUUUUGUUGUGGUACAGGCUCAGAGCCCAAUGCAAGCCCUGGCAGAUGUCUUCAACACCAGAGUGACACUCAGCCUGAAGGCCAGGAUUGAAGACUGGAAGUACAGGGGCAAGAAAUACCUUUGAAAAUACUCCAGUGUCCAAACUGCUCACUGGUGUUGCUGCCUUUUGAGCCAGGGCACGAGGCUUUGUUGAGGUCACUACUUUUCAUUCCCUCCAAGAUGGACAAGAUGUUUGUUUUGUGCACAGUAAGUGGAACACAGGGCCUCCGGCAUGGUGCUUGUAUGUUCCCUUCAGAAACUAAGGAAUGGAGCAGUGUCUUGAACGUGCUACACAAGCCCCCUAACAGCCAAGCGAAUCCAGCAGCUCUACAGACAUCCUUUCACUGAGCAGUUAUUUCUCCUCCGAUGUUCUGAUCGCUGUGGGCAGCCUCCAAACACUUUUUGAAAAAGCUGGAGAGAAAGGCGAGCUUGAAAAGGGGAAUGCAGGAUAGAGGCAAAGGGAGAGAAGCAGGCAAGCGACUCCACAAUGAUACUCAUUCCUUUAUUGUCAACUGUGUUCAUCUCAACAGGGCUGGGGCCUGCAGGCUGCUGGCAGCACCAAGUUAAGGUGCAUUUCCACUCAACAGAAAGGCCUCCAUCCUAAACCAAGGGGGCAGAGGUUAAUGCUUUAUAUAUAUUUAUAUAUUUAUAUAUUACAUAUGUCCUAGAUAUACAUAUGUCCCAUAUGUAUAGAGUGACAAGAAUGGGCCACUUUGUGUAACUUUAAUUAAAGGCCAUAGCAACAGACAUAGAAAUUUGAUCCUAAUUAAGGCCCGUACUUUGUCAAUCAAAUGUGUGAUACAGUAAAAGAAAAAGGAGAGAGACAGAGACUGAGAUCCAGCCACCUCCAGGAGUCCUGUCUCCAGGGUAUCUUACAUUGAGUGUAGUGCCCCCUGUACAGGUGAACAUAAACACACACAUAAACACACACAUAUAAUACCACAGGCAGGAGCACCUCUUCUGACCACACCUUGGGCCCAGCCUUUGGCUGCGGUGCUGAAGUGGGGUGUAUUGUGCUAUAAGACUGUGAGGGUAGUGGACCAGACAAUGUGGAGUCAGUGUGUCCAAGUGAUGAAUGGGGUGACUCAUGCAGCUUCAUCUACAAAUGACAGAGAGCUCAGGGGGAGGUCCCUCAAUGCCCAGUUCACAUCAGGAGAUUUCUACACACAGCUCCUGUUCCAGAGAAAGCCAUUCCUCUGAUUUGAAUCCUGAGUGUCAAUCACAGGGUUCUGACAGAAACCUGGGAUCCCUUUGAAGGGCAGGCAGCCGCAAGGCUCCGCCAUUCAGUCCAGUGGAGCAGCAGAGAGCACAACAGUGGAGUCAAAGCAAAUGAUGCGCAGACAGGACCCUGAAUGGUGCAAGAGGGGCUCAUUUCCCAAAAGGUCGAGAAGGACUGCUGCCCUUUGCCACACAGAACUUCUGGCAGAUCUGUCAGCUUCAUGUCUUACAUAAGUAACAGACCUGCUCCUAAGCCAGGGAAGGAGACGCCCAACAUUAGGGCACUGGAAAUCCUAACUCCCUGUUUUCUCUCCCCGAAUUUACCCACUACCACCCACCAAAAUAUGCAUAUUGAAAAUAAGUCAACAUAUUUGGCAGUAUGAUUUUUAGUACUAAGAGAAUUUCUUAAUUUUUCAACCUAAUUUUACACUCAAUAAAUAAUAAUUAAGUAGUGAAUUGUUAAGUGCUGACAGCAGAAAUUACAAUUCCUUAUACAACAAACUGUGUGCUUAGCAGCAGCUUCUGCAUAGCUCCAGGACUUGGAAAAGAUUCAACACUGGGCUCGGCAUGGUGCUACACACCUGUAAUCUGCACUCUAGAGGCAGAGGCAGGAAAGUAGCUGUAAGCUUCAUCCGUGCUGGUCUACAUAGUGUGUUCCAGGCCAGCCAGGGCUACACACAGAGAGACCCUGUCUCAGAAUAAAACAAAGCAACACAAAACAGAAAUAGAGAGCUAUCGAUCUCUUUUUCCUUGGAGGCAUAUCAGAACCACAGUUAGGGAAGGGAUCCAAGUUGGUUGGAGAACAGCUAGGACUGGGUGGUUUUAAUGUAAACUUUUAAAUUUAUUAUUUAUUUUCUCUUGUUUGCUAUGGAGUCAAGGGAGACUUUGAACUCCUGAUCCAUCUGCCUCUGUCUCCCAGGUGCUGGGAUUAAAGGUGUGCACCACCGAACUCAGUUCAAACCCAACUGUAAGAAACUUCCUUCAUCUUUAGUUAUAUGUAUGUCUGUAUCUGUAGGAGGGUACGUUCACGUGUGCACAGGUCAAUGCAAAGGCCAUAGGAGAGUUCCAGAUCCCCUGGAGACGCCUGGUGUGGAUGCUGGAAACCCACCUUGGGUCCCUCUGGAACAGCAGCAAGUACUAUUAACCACUGAACCUUCUCUCCAGCUUUGAAAAAAAUUUUAAACAAGGUUUCAGUUUAUAGAAUGGGCUAUCAUCACUGGCAAUUCUUCUACCUCAACCUGAGUGACUCCAAACAAUUUUUGUGGAAUUGUAUAUGUACAUAUACAUAAAAACAUUUUUAAAAAAGAGACUGGGCAUCAUAGCUCACAUCUAUAACCCCAGCACCUGGGAAGCUGAGGCAGGAAUACCUCAAUUUUGAGGCAAGGUGGGCCACAGAGUAAGUGAAUACUAGUAGCAAGCCAGGACCACACAUUAAAAAAAAGAAAAAGAAGAGGAAGCAGCCAGACGUGGCUCAGCAGUUAAGAGCACAUAUUGCUCCUCCAGAAGACCUGAGUUCAAGUCCCAGCACUCACGUCAGGUGACUCACAACCACCUGUAACAACAGCUCCAGGGGGUCCAUGCCUCUGGCCUUUGCAUUCAUGUAUGUAGACACACAUGGUUUAAAAAUAAUAAAAAUAAAUCUUAAAAAAA